rnacentral:rRNA from 1 species
UACGUAGGGUGCAAGCGUUGUCCGGAUUUAUUGGGCGUAAAGAGCUCGUAGGCGGCUUGGCAAGUCAGGUGUGAAAACUUCAGGCUCAACCUGGAGAUGCCACCUGAUACUGCUAUGGCUAGAGUCCGGUAGGGGACCACGGAAUUCCUGGUGUAGCGGUGAAAUGCGCAGAUAUCAGGAAGAACACCCGUGGCUAAGGCGGCUCUCUAGUAACGGUAACUGACGCUGAGACGCGAAAGCGU